AUUGAACGCUGGCGGCAGGCCUAACACAUGCAAGUCGAGCGGUAGAGAGAAGCUUGCUUCUCUUGAGAGCGGCGGACGGGUGAGUAAUGCCUAGGAAUCUGCCUGGUAGUGGGGGAUAACGUUCGGAAACGGACGCUAAUACCGCAUACGUCCUACGGGAGAAAGCAGGGGACCUUCGGGCCUUGCGCUAUCAGAUGAGCCUAGGUCGGAUUAGCUAGUUGGUGGGGUAAUGGCUCACCAAGGCGACGAUCCGUAACUGGUCUGAGAGGAUGAUCAGUCACACUGGACCUGAGACAAGGUCAAGACUACUACGGGAGGCAGCAGUGGGGAAUAUUGGACAAUGGGCGAAAGCCUGAUCCAGCCAUGCCGCGUGUGUGAAGAAGGUCUUCGGAUUGUAAAGCACUUUAAGUUGGGAGGAAGGGCAGUAAAUUAAUACUUUGCUGUUUUGACGUUACCGACAGAAUAAGCACCGGCUAACUCUGUGCCAGCCGCCGCCGUAA
rnacentral:rRNA from 1 species